CUCCUGGAAACGGGUGGUAAUGCCGGAUGCUCCGACAUGACGCAUGUCGUGUCGGGAAAGAUUUCAUCGGUAUGGGAUGGGGUCGCGUCCUAUCAGCUUGAUGGCGGGGUAACGGCCCACCAUGGCCUCGACGGGUAGCCGGCCUGAGAGGGCGACCGGCCACAUUGGGACUGAGAUACGGCCCAGACUCCUACGGGA
rnacentral:rRNA from 1 species